rnacentral:rRNA from 1 species
CACGUAGGGCGCAAGCGUUGUCCGGAAUUAUUGGGCGUAAAGAGCUCGUAGGCGGUCUGUCGCGCGAUCGUGAAAACUUGGGGCUUAACCCUGAGCUUGCGGUCGAUACGGGCAUGACUGGAGUUCGGCAGGGGAGACUGGAAUUCCUGGUGUAGCGGUGAAAUGCGCAGAUAUCAGGAGGAACACCCAUUGCGAAAGCAGCUCGCUGGGACGUUACUGACGCUGAGACGCGAAAGCGUGGGGAGCAAACAGG